UUACAAUGGAGAGUUUGAUCCUGGCUCAGGAUGAACGCUAGCGGCAGGCCUAACACAUGCAAGUCGAGGGGUAACAGGGAAAAGCUUG
rnacentral:rRNA from 1 species